GCUCCAAUAGCGUAUAUUAAUGUUGUUGCAGUUAAAAAGCUCGUAGUUGGAUCUCGGGGCGUGGAGGCGUCGGUCCGCCGUGAAGGUGUGCACUGGCCCGCCCGCUCUUUCCUUGGGGACGUUCGCCAUCGCCAUUAGUUUGGUGGUGGUAUUCCGGCCUCGGCCGGUUUCGGCGCGGUGCACUCGUGUGUCGCGCUGGAGCGCCCCAUCUUUUACCUUGAAUAAAUUAGAGUGUUCCAAGCAGGCAUGUUCGCCGUGAAUACAUUAGCAUGGGAUAAUGGAAUAGGACUUUGGUGCUAUUUCGUUGGUUUUCAGAACCAGAGUAAUGAUUAAUAGGGACAGUUGGGGGCAUUCGUAUUUAGUUGUCAGAGGUGAAAUUCUUGGAUUUACGAAAGACGAACUUGGGCGAAAGCAUCUGUCAAGGAUGUUUUCAUUAAUCAAGAACGAAAGUUAGGGGAUCGAAGACGAUCAGAUACCGUCGUAGUCUUAACCAUAAACUAUGCCGACCAAGGAUUGGUGGACGUUACAUUGAUGACUCCUUCAGCACUUUGUGAGAAAUCACAAGUCUUCGGGCUUUGGGGGGAGUAUGGUCGCAAGGCUGAAACUUAAAGGAAUUGACGGAAGGGCACCACCAGGAGUGGAGCCUGCGGCUUAAUUUGACCCAACACGGGAAAACUUACCAGGUCCAGACAUAGGAAGGAUUGACAGAUUGAGAGCUCUUUCUUGAUUCUAUGGUUGGUGGUGCAUGGCCGUUCUUAGUUGGUGGAGUGAUUUGUCUGCUUAAUUGCGUUAACGAACGAGACCUUAACCUGCUAAAUAGUGACGCGAAUCCUCUCGCUAAAACGCGGAAGCGACGCGGACCGCCCCUCGGGGCCCCGCCGAGCCGAGGUCUGGUUGGAUUCGCGGCGCACUUCUUAGAGGGACUAUUGGUUUCUAGCCAAUGGAAGUUUGAGGCAAUAACAGGUCUGUGAUGCCCUUUAGAUGUUCUGGGCCGCACGCGCGCUACACUGAUCCGUUCAACGAGUUUCUCCCCUUGGCCGUCGGGUCUGGGUAAUCUUCGAAAGCGGAUCGUGCUGGGGAUAGAUGAUUGCAACUGUUCGUCUUCAACGAGGAAUUCCUAGUAAGCGUGAGCCAUCAGCUCGCGUUGAUUACGUCCCUGCCCUUUGUACACACCGCCCGUCGCUCCUACCGAUUGGAUGGUCCGGUGAAAUUUUCGGAUCGUGGCUCGUUGCCUGUGGAUUUCGGUCUGCAGGUUGAGCCGUGAAAAGUUACUUAAACCUUAUCAUCUAGAGGAAGGAGAAGUC
rnacentral:rRNA from 1 species